GGCUGAAUACAUCGAGCACAUCUGAGAUCUCGGAUGAUCAGAAGAAAUCUACUACAGUGGCUGAUCCAGAGGAUUAUCAUGCUUCUCAUCUCUAUGGCUUCGUUGAGCAGAAAACAGACACUGAUCUGCCAGACUACUUCACACCCUGGUCAGACCUCGCCCAUCAAACAGAGUCCCUGGUGCAGGGAGGUACACUCAGGAAACACGUUCAAAAGCUACCAUUAUUGGAUCACGCUAGACUAAGCUCACCCACCGAGCUGAAGACGGCUCUUGUGUACCUGACCUGCAUCACAUACGGCUAUGUGUGGUGCGACGGAGAGGAGGGCAUACC